rnacentral:tRNA from 1 species
AAGUGUUAGAAAAUAAAUUAAUAUGUUUUUGAAUUUUACUAAAAUUUGACUCACUUAACUUUUGUAAACUUA